UAUGGCGACCGGCGCACGGGUGAGUAACACGUAUCCAACCUGCCGAUGACUCGGGGGUAGCCUUUCGAAAGAAAGAUUAAUACCCGAUGGCAUAGUUCUUCCGCAUGGUAGAACUAUUAAAGAAUUUCGGUCAUCGAUGGGGAUGCGUCCCAUUAGGUUGUUGGCGGGGUAACGGCCCACCAAGCCUUCGAUGGAUAGGGGUUCUGAGAGGAAGGUCCCCCACAUUGGAACUGAGACACGGUCCAA
rnacentral:rRNA from 1 species